rnacentral:rRNA from 1 species
AUUGAACGCUGGCGGCAGGCCUAACACAUGCAAGUCGAACGGUAGCACAGAGUGCUUGCUCUCGGGUGACGAGUGGCGGACGGGUGAGUAACGUCUGGGAAACUGCCCGAUGGAGGGGGAUAACUACUGGAAACGGUAGCUAAUACCGCAUAACGUCGCAAGACCAAAGUGGGGGACCUUCGGGCCUCACACCAUCGGAUGUGCCCAGAUGGGAUUAGCUAGUAGGUGGGGUAAUGGCUCACCUAGGCGACGAUCCCUAGCUGGUCUGAGAGGAUGACCAGCCACACUGGAACUGAGACACGGUCCAGACUCCUACGGGAGGCAGCAGUGGGGAAUAUUGCACAAUGGGCGCAAGCCUGAUGCAGCCAUGCCGCGUGUAUGAAGAAGGCCUUCGGGUUGUAAAGUACUUUCAGCCGGGAGGAAGGCGGUGAAGUUAAUAACUUCACCGAUUGACGUUACCCGCAAAAGAAGCACCGGCUAACUCCGUGCCAGCCGCCGCGGUAA